CAACAGAAAAAGAAAUCUCCAAGUUGAAGAUAUUAAGGCCCUGCCUGGAUGCCAAGUUUUCUGAAAAGGUCUUUGACUGAAGACUUGAGCUAUCCCCCCCUGAAAUUAUGGACUUUGGGUUAAGAAUCUCUGCUGUACCUAGAAGGAAAAUUCUUUACCAUUUGGCCAAGGUAUUCUCCUGGAUCGCUGCAUAAGAUCCAAACCUGUGCUCUUUGAGGAAGUUGGCACCGUGUUUCUGAAUAAAUUCUUCAAUGGCCCCACCCCACCAUCGUGCAUGUCUGUAGCUGUUA